ACCCAUAACCUCAAGAAUUCCAGCCUCUGUAUUAAGUCUUCUCAUUGCCAUUCUGUACACCUUAUCAGGGUUGAUGGUAAAUCUUGAGCGGAGAUACAAGCCAGCAAAAGCGACAAUGGCGGAGGAAAGAGCAAGGAAGCCAUACUUGGCCAUGCCUUCAGACAAUCCAAUAAAAGUAGUAGCAAUUCCAAAUAGAAUCCUCCAAAGCAAAAUGCACACCAUAAUACCCGCUGCACCAAAUAACACCAUCGAAUUCCUCUUCCAAAAUGCCUCCAUUUGCAAACCCACCGCACCCUUGUAUCGCAAAGUUG
rnacentral:misc_RNA from 1 species